rnacentral:rRNA from 1 species
AAUGAACGCUGGCGGCGUGCUUAACACAUGCAAGUCGAACGAGGCUGGGGGGCAACUCUCCAGUUGAGUGGCGGACGGGUGAGUAACACGUGGGUAACCUGCCCGGAAGUGGGGAAUACCGUACGGGGAAACUCGAGCUAAUACCGCAUGACAUCUUUGGGACGAGAGUCCUGACGAUCAAAGCGGGGUCGCAAGAUCUCGCGCUACCGGAUGGGCCCGCGCCCGAUUAGCAGUUGGUGAGGUAACGGCUCACCAAGGCUUCGAUCGGUAACCGGCCUGAGAGGGCGAUCGGUCACACCGGAACUGAGACACGGUCCGGACUCCUACGGGAGGCAGCAGUGGGGAAUCUUGCGCAAUGGGCGAAAGCCUGACGCAGCAACGCCGCGUGGAGGAUGAAGGCCCUUGGGUUGUAAACUCCUGUCGGCUGGGAAGAAAUCGCGCGGUGCUCAUACCAUCGCGCGUUGACUGUACCAG